rnacentral:misc_RNA from 1 species
GAAAUGCGAUAAGUACUGUGAAUUGCAGAAUUCAGUGAAUCAUCGAAUCUUUGAACGCACAUUUCGCCCGCCAGCCAUCUGGCGGGCAUGCCUGUUCGAGCGUCAUUUCAACCAUCAAGCCCCGGGCUUGUGUUGGGGACCGGCGGCUGCCCGAAGGCCCUGAAAGACAGUGGCGGGCUCGCUGUCACCCCGAGCGUAGUAGUAUUAUCUCGCGUAGGGCGUGCUGCGUGUUCCGGCCGUGAAACCCCCCCAUACCCCAAGGUUGACCUCGGAUCAGGUAGGAAUACCCGCUGAACUUAA